CAGGGAUCCAACCCACGAUCUUGGCCUAUCAGGACAACACUAACCAAUCGAACUACCCAGCCAAGGCCGUGUUUUAAUCUGCUGAUCAAUAUUCUUCUGCACUGGAACUGGAAUUCUUGGAAAUAAGGGAAAUGCAUUUAUGGCGAUUGAGCAUGAUUAAUAGUGCAUACCUCUACCUGCGACCCUGGGCUGCUCCGAGCCUCGCUGCAAGACUGAGUCAAUCCUGCUAACGAAACAAGAACUGAGACAAGAGUGCAGUGAGGAGGCGCCAGGUGAGCUCCCCAGCACAGCCAAGCCAGCACCGACCCUGCCGCAGAAGCCCAGGGCCCAGAUAAUUUUAAUAAGCCCAACGCACAGGUAAC